CCCAAAUAUAUUCUAUUUGAACCCAAGCAUGAUGUAACAAAGGGGCGUGGCUUAUAAAUCUCUAGUUUGUCAAGUAGUGAAUAAUAUAUGAGGACCAGAGAACACAUCGCAGAGGGAAAUUUUAAAUGGCAAUGUUUCUUCUAUCCAUGUCACUGCUUUUUCUCAAAGCAGAUUUCAGUGACAGUGUUUUGAUCACUCAAUGGCCGGAGUACAUAUCCAGCCUUCCAGGAUCUUCAGUUGAAAUGCACUGUUACCAGAAUGAUACAGACUUUGACUACAAAUACUGGUACAGGCAUAUAAAAGGUGGAGGGCCAGUGCUUGUUGGAAGCAUCGUCGGGACUGUUGAUUCUCUUGAGAAGGACUUUAAAACUGGCUUUAAAGUGUCGGGUACAGAGACAAAGAAAUGGACCCUGACUGUGGAUGUUAAGGAGGGGAUUGAUGCUGUGUAUCUGUGUGCUGCUAGUUUACACAGUGAAUAAAAGACAAUAAACUAUACGACAAAAAACUCUUUGGAUGGCAACCUGCAAUCACACCUGCCUCAACCACAAAUAAAUGAACCCAUAUCUUUACAGACAAGUCAGUAGUGCCUGAGGACUUUUGUAUUGAUGACGUUAUACUCCUCCUUCCCCAAAAACCACCUUCACAAUAAGACCUCUUUGAUACAUUCAG